AACCAGUCAGAUCCCAAAUUACACAAACAUCCUUCCCUCCUCUGUGAAGAUGUCCAGCUCUCAAACAACCACCACUAAUGGGGCGGUGGUCAUCACCCAUGUCUACCCCUAUGGGAACGGGAUGGGGGUCGCGGGGGUCGCUUCUACCCCUCACUGUUUGGGACAGACGGUCUCCUCAGUGCUGGAAAGUUUCCGGGCAGGGCAUCCAAAAGCACUUGGGACCGUACAGAUCAUGAUUGGUUUGAUGAUGCUGUUGACAGGAAUUGUGAUGGCUAUGGCACCGUCGUUGGAUAACAUUGGUGUAGUCAGUGGAAUAUUUGUCUGGGGAUCGAUCAUUUAUGUAGUUGCAGGCUCUCUCACUGUUGCCGCUGACAACAAACUGGACAAAUGUCUGGUGAAUGGCUCCCUGGGAAUGAAUGUUGUCGCCACGGUUACUGCUCUGACUGGCAUCAUCCUCCAUUCUUUAGACAGUGCUGGGAUCAUGUUGUACUACUGUAACAGUACAUACCAGUUAUGUCAACAGUACUGGAUCAGGUCCCAGGGAAUAUCAGGUGUUUUGGCUGUUUUCUCCUUGCUGGAGUUCAUAGUGUCCAUCUGUGUCUCGUCAUUCGCCUGCAGAGCUGUCUGCCUGUGCUGCCGUUCCACCCCUGAGCAAGUGUCCUCCAUUGGGUAUCAAAUACCGGUACCUCAUGGCAGCGUGACUCCAAGCAACGCACCUUACCCUCCUCAGAACAACUACGAGUAUUCAGAUGCAUCCUGUAUCCAUUGAUCAUCCUUGAGAGGCUUCUACAACUUGAUUGGAGUCCACCUGUGGUAAAUUCAAUUGAUUGGACAUGAUUUGGAAAGGCACACACCUGUCCCACAGUUGACAGUGUAUGUCAGAGCAAAAACCAAGCCAUGAGGUGGAAGUAAUUGUCCGUAGAGCUCCAAGACAGGAUUAUGUCAAGGCACAGAUCUGGAGAAGGGUACCAAAACAUUCCUGCAGCAUUGAAGGUCCCCAUGAACACAGUGUCCUUCAUCAUUCUUAAAUGGAAGAAGUUUGGAAUCACCAAGACUCUUCCUAGAGCUGACCGCCUGGCCAAACUGAGUAAUCGGGGGAGAAGGGCCUUGGUCGGGGAGGUGACCAAGAACCCGAUGGUCACUCUGACAGAGCUCCAGAGUUCCUCUGUGGAGGACAACCAUCUCUGCAGCACGCCAUCAACCAGGCCUUUAUGGCUAGACGGAAGUCACUCCUCAGUAAAAGGCACAUGACAGCCCGCUUGGAGUUUGCCAAAAGGCACCUAAAGGACUCCGACAAUGAGAAACAAGAUUCUCUGGUCUGAUGAAACCAAGAUUGAACUCUUUGGCCUGAAUGCCAAGCAUCACAUCUGGAAGAAACCUGGCAUCAUCCCUACGGUGAAGCAUGGUGGUGGCAGCAUCAUGCUGUAGGGAUGUUUUUCAACUUCAGGGACUAGGAGAAUAGUCAGGAUCAAGGGAAAGAUGAACGGAGUGAACAGCGACACUACCAAUUCAACCUGACAGAGCUUGAGAGGAUCUGCAGAAAAGAAUGGGAGAAACUCCCCAAAUACAGACUGGGAACUACCCAAAUGGUCCUGUGGGAGACGGUAUGGGUACAGGGUUUCAACAGAACCACCUGCCUCCUCAAUACACUGCUGUCAUCCCUUGAAAAUCGGGCCUCCGUGAAUACAUUGUUCUUUUUCUUGUUGAAAUUGUGUUCUUAUGUAGACCUAUGUUUCUGAUGCAAGCCAGGCAAUGGUUAGCAGCACCACAUCACUGAUCUGACAGUUAAAUACUGUUCUUGUAUUGUAAUGUUAUUUAUGAUCUUUUGGCUACUAUAUGGUUAAUAUUUUAAUGUUUUUUUCUGUGUCUCAUAAUUGUCUAUAGAAAAAUAGUAGCCUUCAUUUAUCAACCAAAUCAAAUCAACCACAGUGUAUAAUCUGUCAAUGUUUGUAAAUGACAUGUACCUAUAAUGAUGACAUGUAUUGCAAAUACAUAUGACUGAAUAAAUGGGGAAAAAAUGACAAAGAA